CAAUAGCGUAUAUUAAAGUUGUUGCGGUAAAAAAGCUCGUAGUUGGAUUUCUGUUGAGAGCGACCGGUCCAUACCAUGUAUGCGUAUCUGGCUUGCUCUCGGCAUCCUCUCGAUAGACGUUACUGCGCUUGAUUGCGUGGUGCGGAUCUCGGGACUUUUACUUUGAGGAAAUUGGAGUGUUCACGGCAGGCUUUCGCCAGAAUACAUUAGCAUGGAAUAAUACUAUAGGAUCUUGGUUCUAUUUUGUUGGUUUCUAGAAUUGAGAUAAUGAUUAAUAGGGACAAUUGGGGGCAUUCGUAUCAACACGUCAGAGGUGGAAUUCUUGGAUUGUGUUGCGACGAACUACUGCGAAAGCAUUUGCCAAGGAUGUUUUCAUUGA
rnacentral:rRNA from 1 species